rnacentral:rRNA from 1 species
UACGUAGGGUGCAGGCGUUAAUCGGACUUACUGGGCGUAAAGCGUGCGCAGGCGGUUCGUUGUGUCGGUGGUGAAAGCCCCGGGCUCAACCUGGGAAUGGCCAUGGAAACUGGCGAACUGGAGUGUGGCAGAGGGGGGUGGAAUUCCGCGUGUAGCAGUGAAAUGCGUAGAGAUGCGGAGGAACACCGAUGGCGAAGGCAGCCCCCUGGGCUAGCACUGACGCUCAGGCACGAAAGCGUGGGGAGCAAACAGG